UUGCCGGUGUAAGUCCGGUCCGGGUAGUUGCCAGGAGGCCCGGUAGCAGACUGGCGGCUUGGUUUGGAAACGGAUCAGGUGGAAGCCCAGUGUCGAAAGUCCUUGAAAGGGGAAGCGACUGAGCGGUCCGUAGCAUGA
rfam:Mycobacterium doricum strain DSM 44339 contig_5, whole genome shotgun sequence.